UCAGUAACGGCGAGUGAAGCGGCAAGAGCUCAAAUAUGAAAUCCGGCCCCCUGGGGGCCUGAGUUGUAAUUUGCAGAGGAUGCUUCGGGCGCGACCGCGGUCCAAGUCCCCUGGAACGGGGCGUCGUAGAGGGUGAGAAUCCCGUCUCCGGCCGGCCGGUCUCGCCCGUGUGAAGCUCCUUCGACGAGUCGAGUUGUUUGGGAAUGCAGCUCCAAAUGGGUGGUAAAUUUCAUCUAAAGCUAAAUACUGGUCGGAGACCGAUAGCGCACAAGUAGAGUGAUCGAAAGAUGAAAAGCACUUUGAAAAGAGAGUUAAACAGCAUGUGAAAUUGUUGAAAGGGAAGCGCUUGCGACCAGAGUCGGCCGCGCGGGGGUUCAGCGGGGCAUUCGUUGCCCGUGCAAUCCCCCGCGGCCGGGCCAGCGUCGGUUUCGACGGCCGGUCAAAGGCCCCCGGAAUGUGUCGCCUCUCGGGGCGUCUUAUAGCCGGGGGUGCAAUGCG
rnacentral:rRNA from 1 species